GCCAGUGUGGUGUAAUGGUUUGAGCAUUGGACUUUCACUCUGGAGACCAGGGUUUGAAUCCCUGCUUGGUCA